UACGUAGGAGGCAAGCGUUGUCCGGAAUUACUGGGCGUAAAGCGCGUGUAGGUGGUGGGACAAGUCUGCUGUGAAAGCGCCUGGCUUAACCGGGCGAGGUCGGCGGAAACUGUCCGACUCGAGGACGGUAGAGGGGGGUGGAAUUCCCGGUGUAGUGGUGAAAUGCGUAGAGAUCGGGAGGAACACCUGUGGCGAAGGCGGCAUCCUGGACCGACAUUGACGCUGAAUACCGAAAGCUAGGGGAGCAAACGGG
rnacentral:rRNA from 1 species